UUGAGUUGUGACGCUCCCAAUUCUCAGAGCUCCUUCUCCUUCAACGUGAACGGCGGCGCGGUGGAUAUCCCUCUCCGAUCCUCAUCUACGAAGCUUCUUCUUCAAACGCGGCGUUGAUUCUCCGUUCAAACCACUCUUGAAUCGCUCUCAAGCUAAACAUCCAUGGCACGAAGGGAAAGAUUGAAGGCAAGGUUACCGAUCAGACGAAAACGUCUGGUGCUUCUUUGAACAAUGGAAUGCGAUGAAGACGUAGAAUAAACGCGGAGAAACAAACGAAGGAUACUCUGGUUUCAGAGUCGAGGGUGAUUUUAUGCAGGUAGUGAUGGCUGCCAGUUUGGUUCAAAGUUGUGUCACGGUUUGUGGCUCUUUGCAGCCGAAGCUCAUGGUCUUUAUGGGACUGCACUGGUUUGCUUAAUGCGCAGGGUCCUUUAUUUGAAGAGUUUAAUGGUGCAGCUCGGCUUCGGUGAGGUUGGACGCUGCUGGCUCCGGUUUUGUUUUGGUUUGCGCUUUUUGUUUUCAACUUGCUAGGCAGCUAGCACUGAGUAGGUUAUGAACUGGUUUAGGAUUUUGUAUGUUUGAAUGUGAGAUGGUUUUGGUUUGAAUUUUGUGUGGUUAUUGAAAGGUAUAUGGUUGUACUGGUUUUUGUUUUGCCUUUUUGCAUUGAUUCUCUUUGAUUGAAUCUGGUUUCUUUUUCUGAAUUUGAAAUAUUUUCUUCUGAAUCAUGUAGGCAGCUCUGGUUUUGAUGCGAGUUUCGAGUGGCAAGCUGAACUAUUAUGACUCCCUCCGAUGUGAACCGUUUUUUUUUGCGUUUGUUCCUAACUGCAGGUUCAGCCUUCAUCUGAAUUGGGACAAAAUGCAUGCCACUUACAGGUAGAAAACCGAUCGGGUAGAAGCAACAGGGACUUCAAGAUGAAGGAUAGACUCAUGUUCAUGUGGUUUUUUUUUUAUUUUUAUUUUUCAGAAUGUAAACUUUGAGAUGAAACUUGUUGUAAAUGGGAUGGACGUUUUUUCUUAUAUCAUUGUAAUCCU